AAUUUCGGGAGUAUUAUGAAGUUUUACUAAAUUAAUUGAUAAAAAAUUAAAACGAUGCCCAUGUACCAUGAAAGAGAGUUGAAUAUACAUUAAUACAAAUAUAGAAUGUGUUUAUUAAUUUUAAAACAACACUACAGAUCAUUAGCUUCAGUAUAUAGAACAUUUACCAAAAAACUCAAUAUUUUCGUAGGGGUUAACACAUAGAUUUUGAGAAAAAUUCAAAAAAAUAAAAAUACUGUUUUAAUGCAUAAUUGCAUCCUGCACUAACAUAUGAUGAAGGUCAAAGAGGUUUUGAUCCUUUGUUGUCUCCAUUUCACUAGAGAAUAGCGAUUUUAUAGUGGUUAGUCUACCAAUUUUGGGAGUAUUACGAAGUUUUACUAAAUUAUUUGAUAAAAAAAUAAAACGAUGCCACGUACCAUGGAAGAGAGUUGAAUUUACAUUAAUACAAAUGUAGAAUGAAUUUUGAAACUUUAAAACAACACUAAAGAUCAUAGGUUUCAGUAUAGAGAAUAUUUACUGAAAAAGUCAAUAUAUUCGUAGGUGCUAACACAUAGAUUUUGAGAAAAAUCAAAAUUAUGAAAAUAUUGUUUUAAUGCAUAGUUUCAUCCUGAACUAACAUAUGAUGAAGGUCGAAGAGGUUUGGAACCUUUGUUGACUCUGUUUCUCUAGAAAAUACCGAAUUUAUAGUGGUUAGUCCACCAAUUUCAGAAAUAUUGUGAAGUUGUACUAAGUUAAUUGAUAAACGAUUUAAACUACGCCCAUGUACAUUGAAAUAGAGUUAGAUAUAAAUUAAUACAAAUGUAAAGUGUGUUUAGAAAUUUUAAAACACCAAUAAAGAUCAUGGACUUCAGUAUAUAGAACAUUUACCGAACAACUCAAUAUUUUCGUAGGGGUUAACACAUAGAUUUUGAGAAAAUUUUAAAAAUAUGAAAUACUGUUAAUGCAUAGUUUCAUCCUGCACUAACAUAUGAUGUAGGUCGAAAUGGUUUGGAACUUUUGUUGUCUCUGUUUCUCUAGAGAAUGGCAAUUUUAUAGUGGAUAGUCUACCAAUUUCGGGAGUAUUAUGAAGUUUUACCAAAUUAAUUGAUAAAAAAUUUAAACGAUACUCAUGUACCAUGAAAGAGAGUUUAUUAUACAUUAAUACAAAUUUAGAAUGUAUUUUGAAAUUUUAAAACAACACUAAAGAUA